AUUGAACGCUGGCGGAAUGCUUUACACAUGCAAGUCGAACGGUAGAGGGGGCAACCCCUUGAGAGUGGCGAACGGGUGAGUAAUAUAUCGGAACGUGCCCAGGUCGUGGGGGAUAACGUAGCGAAAGUUACGCUAAUACCGCAUACGAUCUAAGGAUGAAAGCGGGGGAUCGCAAGACCUCGCGCGAUUGGAGCGGCCGAUAUCAGACUAGGUAGUUGGUGAGGUAAAGGCUCACCAAGCCGACGAUCUGUAGCUGGUCUGAGAGGACGACCAGCCACACUGGGACUGAGACACGGCCCAGACUCCUACGGGAGGCAGCAGUGGGGAAUUUUGGACAAUGGGCGCAAGCCUGAUCCAGCAAUGCCGCGUGCAGGAUGAA
rnacentral:rRNA from 1 species